UGGGGGAAUCUUCCGCAAUGGGCGAAAGCCUGACGGAGCAACGCCGCGUGAGUGAAGAAGGUCUUCGGAUCGUAAAGCUCUGUUGAGAGGGACGAGAGAUUACUUCAGGAAAUGGGAGUAAGAGGACGGUACCUUUCGAGGAAGCCACGGCUAACUACGUGCCAGCAGCCGCGGUAAUACGUAGGUGGCGAGCGUUGUCCGGAAUUAUUGGGCGUAAAGGGAGCGCAGGUGGGACUUCAAGUCAGUCUUAAAAGUGCGGGGCUCAACCCCGUGAUGGGAUUGAAACUGUAGUUCUUGAGUGCAGGAGAGGAAAGCGGAAUUCCUAGUGUAGCGGUGAAAUGCGUAGAUAUUAGGAGGAACACCAGUGGCGAAGGCGGCUUGCUGGACGACAACUGACGCUGAGGCUCGAAAGCGUGGGGAGCAAACAGGAUUAGAUACCCUGGUAGU
rnacentral:rRNA from 1 species